CCCCUCGAUGAUGAAGAACUCGUUGAGUAUAUUCUCACGGGUCUUGACUUCGACUUCAAUCUGAUAGUCUUUGCUCUUGUUGCAAGGACAAAACCUACUUCCGUGAGCGAGGUGUACGCUCAACUUCUCACCUUCGAGA